ensembl:lncRNA
CUGACGUCACACGUCACCUCUCUGGGUCGAGGUAGCUAUGAGGACGCGUCAGGUCCAGCCCCACGGGAGGCGCCUCCCACAGCUCCCUUCAUGUCUGUCCCUCCCUUCUCGUCAGCUCACCUGGUCAGGGCUUCCCGGGCCUCAGGGUGUCGGAAAUUAGGCCAAGGGGAGUGCUUGUUUCAGUGAAGCGGGAAGGAGGGAAUUGGACGGAGGAACGUGACUGUACCACUCUCUAGGGCAUGGAGAUUCACGUGGCGCCAAGUGUCGGGACUGCUGAAAUGCCUUUCUGUGACCUGAAGAUGCUAUCAAAUACAUGGAGUAUUUCACAUUCACACAGAAAAACCUAAAGGAUGCAUUUGACAAAGCACUAGUGACUGCCUCGGAGACGGUGGAACCAAAGAAAAGCCAUAGAGCUGUUCCUGGAAGUCUUACCCUCUUCUUAAAGGAAUAAUUAUGUGCUUUUUCAAAUAUGAACUCUGAAUUAAACUGGUUGCUGAGCCUAGGCACUGAACAUGAGAUGACCCCAUGGGGUGACCCCAUUGGGGUCACAGGGGGUCACAGGGGGUGACCCCAAUGCCAGCACUUUCCUGCAGAACACCUGUAGAUGUUGUCCACACUUGUGAAGCUGUUGAACUGAUAUUAUAGACAAGCAAAACUGGAACUGACUGCCUCAGGCUGUCCCUCUGAAACCAAGGACUGAACUGCAUCAUUUGAACUGGAUUGAGAACCCAGAGUGGGAGGUCUUACAGUACAAAGCCACGUGGGGGCCCUGAUAACCUGUGCUGCCUAACUAAUGUAUGUCUUGUUCGCAUGCCCCAAUGUUUGUGAACUCCUUGUUUCUCUGGUUACUACGUGCGAUCUCUGGGGUUGUGCUUGUCUGUGUGUCCUAUCACACUCCCUCAGCUCUGGAAGGAUUUCAGGUCAGCUUCAACUUACUAGCUGUGCCUGUAUUGCUGCCUUGCACUAGGCAAAAAAAAAAAAAAAAAAAAAAAGGUCAAUUAGAAACUUAAGGAUGAAGUCAUCUGGCUUUUUUAUGUAGGUCUGUGUGGCUAACGGGACCUGUUUUAACUGGCUAAGUAAAGGUCCCCUAAGGGCGUAACUGAGAUCAGUAUGGCAGAUUGCCCUCACCCUGUUGCAGGAGGUCCUACUGAUAAUUUUACUAUAAAGAUGCCUUGGCCAAGGGCCAAGGACUGGCAUAUCCUUGGAAAGUCCUACUUAUGAGGAUAUGUUUUGGGGAGAGUUCCCACCAUUCACAGAACUGAUAAGAGUGGCUCAUUGUACUUAAACUGUUUGUAAACCAGUGUGGUUUAUGCUGAAUACCUGCUUUCCUCCUGGGAGUCUGGAAUUUUGGUAUGUGUUGGGCAGAAUGUGCCUACAUGACCAGCUCCCAGUAACAGCCUUGGACACCAUCUCUAACAAGCUUCCUCAGUAGACAAUAUUCCACCUAUACUGGCACAACCUGUCGAGGGGAAAUUAAGUGUGUCCUGUGUGACUGUACUGGAAGAGGACUCUUGGAAGCUUGUGUCCGGUUUUCUCUACGCUUUGCACCAUGCACUUUUUCCAUUUACUGACUUAGUUUUAUAUCCUUUCACUGUAGUAAAUCUUAGCUGUGAGAACAACUAUGUGCUGAAUGUUGUUUUCAGUCUGCCUAGUGAAUCACUGAACCCUGGGUGUGGUCUUGGGGCCCCUUACACAGGAGUGUAAUGGAAUGGCACAGCUGUAUGGCUCUAAAGAAAGGUGUGUAAAACUAUGCAUGGAAAAGGGAACUCUGCCCAUUGGGCAUAAUUGUAAGGAGGGAUCUAAAAAUGCCUCCCCAGAUGUGCCUUAUUAUAUUUUCAUUGACUUAUGGCAUUGGGCUAUGGGCUAGCAGUGUAGUCUGGUACCUGGCAACAGGAAAACUGGAUAAUCAAGUCUCAGCUCGGAGAGGCCAAACAUGGCAUAAGAUUGCAGAAGACUCAUGCCCUCUGUUUGUGAGCCAUAUAAAUGCCUGUGGAAAAGGACUUUUGGAGGAUGAGCAUCAAUGGAAACAAGCUGAUUUGACCUGAGCUUCCCAGGUAAGGACCAGGGCCACCCAAAUGCACUAUUGUGCAGGGGAUAGCAAUUCAUCUACAAGUCAGAACUGGGCCUAAAAAUAAGCUCCAGUGAUUCCAGCAUCUGAGACCAAGGAAGCCUGGCAUACAUACCCAAACUGCUACCAAUACAGUCAAGUAGCAAAGGGAACUUGGGACACAGUCUGGGGCACUGGACCAGGCUGGUCUUGGCAAAUAGACUGUGUAAUUAACUCAUUCACUCUUUUCCUUCCAUGUCUUCCCUCUGGGACUGUGGGCUACUGGAGUAUCAAAGUGAGUAUCAAAGAUAAGCCAGGAGGUGGGAGAGUUUAACUUGAUGUUCUUUUGCUGCCCAGCUAAGCUUGCUAGAUUUGGGCCAUUACAGAUAAUGAUGAUAAUGAUCAGGGAUCUGGGAUGACAACUCUUUAGUGCUCCUAGUGUUGUCCGUUUAUCAGAGGACCGUAGAUUUUCUAGGUGGUAGAAGUUGUAUAAGGAAGACUCUACUGAGCCACCUUGGAACAAGUCUGGGUGUGUGGUGUGAGUAAGACAGGGGGAGGACUGGUAAAAGGGUGACAUGAUUUCUGCAGGGACUGAUACCAAGCACAGGACAACCUUAACUGCUGGGGAGGGAUGGAACUGGGGAAGGUCUAUUCAUCUCCCUCAGCUCCGGUCUGCAGAGCAGCAUCUGGCCAAUUUUUAGUGCAGACUGACACCUCCAACUUGACCAUUGACCAAAAGGGAAUCUUAAUCUAAGAACUCUCAGAUAACUUCCCAGCAGCUGCUGACUCCAGAAGUUAACAGCUAACACUCCAGACAAUAGAACAAGAUCAAAUUUCUGGAACCCAAUCCAAUUUCCUUUUACCUAUUCACAGAGUAGAGCAACUGCUUUAAGUUUAUCUCUGUUGCCUAGGACAGAUUAAAAGGAUUUGUAUAAUUAGGAUAUCUGAUUGGGUGGCCUCUGUUUCUGAAGAGAGUUCUUGACUGGUGAUGUGAAAGGUAGGAGGUGAAGUUGCAGGGAAACUGCUCUGUGCAGAUGUACUUGCAAACAUCCAUAUAGGCCUCAUGGAUAAGACUUAACCUCAGGAGAUCUAAGUCUUGCUAAAAUGCCCCAUACUCCUCUCAGAAUGUGAGAGAAUGGGAGGCUUGGAAGCAGCUGCUACAAGGCCAUUUUUCACCCUCUUUAUUAUCCCUCCUGGAGGCUGUUACAAGACAUUUUCUUAUUGCCUUCCAGGUUCAGGUAAGAUGUAAGGGCUUCUGCCUUGAAAUGCCCCUCUUCCCCACACUUGAGGGUACAGCUCCAUGGUAUAAAAUUGCUUAGCAUGAAAUACUCAAAACUGCUUAGUAUAAAACUGGAUACUCAGAACCAGAGCUUCACCCAUGUUGAAUUGUUAUUGAACCUCUUGCUUUAGUGUGGUCUGGGGGGACAGAGGACACAGGGAGCUGGCACCUUUGUGGAUCUUGCUGUUGCUGCUGGCUAUGGAAAUAAUGAAUUGUCUGACCUAAACAGGACUGUUUACCAGCUGAAUGUCUCAGCCUUGCAUGGCAGCAAGGACAAAGUCUCUGCACCCACCCUUGGUCCAUACAUGUGGAUUCCUGCCCUUCUCCACCCAAUUCAGUUUAAAUAUUAGUUAAACUUGAAUAACUAUGUUAGAAAAGUGAUCAGAACUAGUUUUUUUUAAUCAUUACAAAAUUUUUGUGUUUGGAAGUAAGUUGUGCUCAUGAUGAUUCUGUAACAGACAUUAAUUCUAGGCUUGAACUGUUGAGUCCAGAACCACUGGUUCCUGUCUGGAGAGUAAUCUGCUACAUCUUAGUGUUUUAUUUUUCAUUUCUGGCAGUGUGUGAAAUUUUUGUUGUUUUUUUUAAUAUGGUUUUUUGGUUACUAUUUUUUUAAAUUCAUUAAAAAGUAAACAGCUUUUGGGGGGAUGGGGAGGACAGACUGAUUCCACAUUCUAUUUCCUAGGUCUAGUCUAGAAAACAUUGUCCCCACCUGGUGCUCUAUAGGAAUUUCAAAUGCUUCAUUUAAUAACAUACAUUUCUUUUAAAAAUUUGCCUUUUCUCUUCCACCCCCAAAUAGGUCUGGUAUUUGAUGAAACUCGUGAAAAUAGGUGGAACCUAAGUCGCCCCUCUUCUGAAGGAUGCAGUGAGUGCAUAUCUGACUAUGACUUUUGAGUUAAUUUCUUUGUCAUUUCCGCAUUUCUUUAAAGUUAAUUUCUAACUCCUUUUAUUGAUAAUGAAGAAAAAUAAUGUACCUUUUGAAAUACACCAAUGAAUUGCGUUCCUAAUUUUAAAAGUUUUUCAUUAUUAAGGAAAAUUAGAUGUAGCAACCAAUCCAUAUUUCCCAUAUACACUUAUAUUAUCAUUAUCUCCAAUUGAUAAAGAAUGAAUCUGAGGCUUAUAGAAGCUCUGUGUGAUCACAUUUUCAUGACUUAUAAUGGCAGAACUGGGACUUGAACUCAGGUCUGUCUGACAUCAAGUCAUUCCCUUAACCAGUCUGGUCUACUACAGGAAAUUACAAAAUGAACUUUAAUGGAGCUCAUAAUUUGACAGGGAAUUAGAGGCAUAACUAUGAAGCAGGGCCUCCUUUUAUAUUGGCAAUUAUGGCCUAGGGCAGGCUUACAGUAGGGGCUCAAAAACUGUGUGGUGGAAAUAAAUGAUAGGCAUUAGUAACAGUGUUCUGAGGAGCUGGUACAUUCACGUCUGAGUGGAGUGGAUGUAUCCUAUGUAUAGGCAGCAGGGAAAUCCAUAACAGAGGCUCAGGAGAAGCAGGGCACCAAGGUCAGAGAGGGAAAUCCUAGAAAUAAUCUCCUGCACAGGUUGGGUCCCUGUGCAGAUUUAAAUGCCGUUCCUAUCUUUUAAAAAUAUUUUUAGGUCUGAGAACUUAAGAUCAGUCUACAGGUAGCCCUAUUCUAGUCUAGUCAGCCUGAGCGCCUACCGUUUCUCUCCCUCCAGCGUCUAUAUCUGCGCUGAUGCUCUAUCUUGCCGGGGUCCAGCCCCUGCAGGAUCCAGGGGAACCUGAAGGAAAAAUGGCGUUGGUGGAUGAUUUAGAGAGAGAUAAGGAAAGAAUAUUGUAGAUAAGAAAAUAGAGGAGAGAAAGAGGCUGAUAUUCCUUGGUUUACGUAGAAAGCCAAUAAAACUUCGAGACAAGAAGUUUGCCCUGUUCACGGAGGCCACAGGUGCCUUCCUGGUCUCCCAGGGGAGUGAAGAUGCAGAACGUCUUCCCGUUCAGGUCUCAGAAAUCCGGGCAGAUAAGUGAAUGCAGGGAGCCUCUAUGCUCCAAGGGAUUAGCCUGAAAAAGAAAGUGAGAGAGAAAAAAAGAGAAAAAAGAAAAACACGGGGUGACCAAGCUUCUUCAAGCGAGGCCCAUUGUUUUUAUUUUCAAAAGGGUCUUUUAUACCUUUACUUGUACAUAGAGGGAAAUGAAAGACGCAAAGUCAUACAGAGUCAGCCCAAACAUUACAUCUGUUUUGUCUUUAUCGGAACCAGGAUUUUUUCUGCAAACCUUUCCCAUAAACAAUAUUGUGUACAUUAUCUUCUGGCCUUGGAGGCCUGUGAACAUUUUAUGACCCUCUUUUGAUAAAGGCUUCUCAACCAGAAAACUUAUUUUCCCUUGAAAUGUUUUUUCUUAUAUUUCUAAUCUAUGUCAGCCUCAAAAAGUAGUAAACAGAGUUACAUUCUCAGGAAGCAAAGGUGCAGUGAGUUACAAGAAAGAACCAAUUAGCUCAAAAGUCUGAUGUGGUUAAUUUCAAGGCUACACUUGUUUUUCUUACUUUCCAACUACGUUAACUAAUGCACUCCCAGGUACACAGUGGAUAAGAGAUAUGGGAACUUAGCAAAAAGCAUUGGCCCAAUAAUGAAAUCCUAUGCCUAGCACUACUCUAAUAACUUUUAACUCUUUGAAAGGCUCUAUGUUUUAGGUUUUCCGUGCCUCUCACAGUUGGGAGGCUGUAAAUAAUCACAUGUGUAUCUGCAAGAGUCUGGAUAUAUCUGCCAAGCAAGCUAAAAUGCUAACAGAGAGGUUUUGAUUGGAAAUAUUCUUCUCAUGUCCAGGAGACUUACUAGCUAUAGCCCUAAGUUGAUUUUCUCCAGAGAAAGGUGGUCAGGAAUAGCCCCCUGUUAAUGUCAGGGAAGUUGGUGAAAGUCAUGAAAUAGUAAAACAGACAGAUUCUGGUUUUGAGGUAGAUGUUUGAGAAAGCCUAGGGAACCCUGUUGAGUUCUGAAGCCUUGCUUAACAGUUCUCUUCCACAUGACCUUGUCAUGGGUGGGAUCUCCCGUGGUGGCUCCCGGCACUACCUGAAUGUCUGUUUUCUGCUUUCCAAUCUCUUACAGUUCUUCUAUCCUGCAGUCCAGAAACAUAAAGUUUCUAUUUCUUAAAAGGAAAAUAAAUCACUUUCAAAACUAAAAAUAGUAACAGAUUCUACUUUCUCCCACGUGCUGUCUUUAGAGGCAAACAGACCUGGAUUCAGUCCUAGAUUUUGCCUGCUUGAUGUCUGGAAUCUUGCCUUGGUUACUUAUCCUCCUUAAGACUCCUUAACUCUCCUGAAAAAUGGGUAUUUUUUUUUUAAUCUAACAACGUAAAAAGUUAUAUGAAAUUAAAUCGUGCAUAUUGAGACUUCCUUGGCCGUCCAGUAGUUAAGACACUGAGCUUCCACUGCAGAGGGUAUGGGUCAGGGAACUAAGAUCCUGUAAGCUGUGAAGUAUGGCAAAACAAAACAAAACAAAAAGUAAUACAUAUUAUAAAAGUGGAUCUAGAUGUUUGAGUUUUAGUGAUUGGUAUCUGUUCACUCCUUUUGCUUACCUUUUCUAAUUUGUCUACCUGCCAACAAGGUUCCCAAAUAUCUCAACUACCAAUAUAACUGAACUGUCACCCACAAAGAGGAAAUCAGAAGUAUCAAGGACAGCUAAGGACUGUAGAAGAAACUUAGUAAUUAGUGACCUAGAAAAUCCUGUCUAAAAUCUGCCAUCUAGUGUGGACUUUAUAAAAUUACACAUUAUUGGGCACAUUAAUGCUAUGAUUACCACUAAGGCGUCCCUCAAUGGACACUAAGUUGAAAUUUUAAAUUAUCAAACAGAAUGGUCAAAAGUAGCAUUAAAUUUGAUUUCCCAUUUGGUUUUAAUCAUAGCUAGAUACAUAGAGAGGUAAAGAGAUAAAUGCUA